AGUGAACGCUGGCGGUAGGCCUAACACAUGCAAGUCGAACGGCAGCACAGGAGAGCUUGCUCUCUGGGUGGCGAGUGGCGGACGGGUGAGGAAUACAUCGGAAUCUACUCUGUCGUGGGGGAUAACGUAGGGAAACUUACGCUAAUACCGCAUACGACCUACGGGUGAAAGCAGGGGACCUUCGGGCCUUGCGCGAUUGAAUGAGCCGAUGUCGGAUUAGCUAGUUUGCGGGGUAAAGGCCCACCAAGGCGACGAUCCGUAGCUGGUCUGAGAGGAUGAACAGCCACACUGGGACGGAGACACGGUCCAGACGCCUACGGGAGGCAGCAGUGGGGAAUAUUGGACAAUGGGCGCAAGCCUGAUCCAGCCAUACCGCGUGGGUGAAGAAGGCCUUCGGGUUGUAAAGCCCUUUUGUUGGGAAAGAAAUCCAGCUGGCUAAUACCCGGUUGGGAUGACGGUACCCAAAGAAUAAGCACCGGCUAACUUCGUGCCAGCCGCCGCAGUAA
rnacentral:rRNA from 1 species